UGGGGAAUAUUGCACAAUGGGGGAAACCCUGAUGCAGCGACGCCGCGUGGAGGAAGAAGGUCUUCGGAUUGUAAACUCCUGUUGUUGAGGAAGAUAAUGACGGUACUCAACAAGGAAGUGACGGCUAACUACGUGCCAGCAGCCGCGGUAAAACGUAGGUCACAAGCGUUGUCCGGAAUUACUGGGUGUAAAGGGAGCGCAGGCGGGAAGACAAGUUGGAAGUGAAAUCCAUGGGCUCAACCCAUGAACUGCUUUCAAAACUGUUUUUCUUGAGUAGUGCAGAGGUAGGCGGAAUUCCCGGUGUAGCGGUGGAAUGCGUAGAUAUCGGGAGGAACACCAGUGGCGAAGGCGGCCUACUGGGCACCAACUGACGCUGAGGCUCGAAAGUGUGGGUAGCAAACAGGAUUAGAUACCCUGGUAGUCCACACCGUAAACGAUGAUUACUAGGUGUUGGAGGAUUGACCCCUUCAGUGCCGCAGUUAACACAAUAAGUAAUCCACCUGGGGAGUACGACCGCAAGGUUGAAACUCAAAGGAAUUGACGGGGGCCCGCACAAGCAGUGGAGUAUGUGGUUUAAUUCGACGCAACGCGAAGAACCUUACCAAGUCUUGACAUCCUGCGACGGUGCUGGAAACAGUAUUUUCCUUCGGGACGCAGAGACAGGUGGUGCAUGGUUGUCGUCAGCUCGUGUCGUGAGAUGUUGGGUUAAGUCCCGCAACGAGCGCAACCCUUAUGGUCAGUUACUACGCAAGAGGACUCUGGCCAGACUGCCGUUGACAAAACGGAGGAAGGUGGGGAUGACGUCAAAUCAUCAUGCCCUUUAUGACUUGGGCUACACACGUACUACAAUGGCGUUAAACAAAGAGAAGCAAGACCGCGAGGUGGAGCAAAACUCAGAAACAACGUCCCAGUUCGGACUGCAGGCUGCAACUCGCCUGCACGAAGUCGGAAUUGCUAGUAAUCGUGGAUCAGCAUGCCACGGUGAAUACGUUCCC
rnacentral:rRNA from 1 species